GUCAGUGGUGCCAGAGGGGGGAGUCGAUCCUAGGGUUACAAACUGGGGGGCCAGCGCGCACACCACUAAGCUACGCAGGUACUGCCGAAAGAAUAAUGCUCAACGUGCUAUAUGAAGAUUCCAAAGAGGCAAGUUUUGAAAAUCAAUAAUUCUUUGAAAGGAUUCACUAAUAGCUUUUGUGAGGCGUUGCUAUCACUGCUCUUGUUCCUGUCACUCUUUGCUCCUGUCACUUUGUCAGUCAGUCGCUUACUUCCUCUGUCUGUCAGUGCAGUAGGCUUAGCACUAGGCUACCCAGCCUAGUGCUAGCGUGGCUUACCACCAGGCUGUAUAGCCUAGCGGUUAGCGCGCCGGACUCCGACGCAGAAGGCGAGAGUUCGACUCCACCUUGUGGACUGCAAACCUAAACGCAUACUUAUGUGUCUGCUUUGUAAUGCCCGCGGGGGCCCCGCUUCCCAUUCAUUCUCUAUGGUAGUGCUAAACCACUACGGAUGAAAUAUAUUUUUGGCCACUAUGACCCUUGUGGCGCUGUUGUGGAUGCGGUACUUCUAAAAAUUUCCGCUUUGAAACUUUUGCCGAGACAGGACAGUUAACCCACUGCUCGCUACAGCAAUCAGUGCCCCGUAUUCAUUUAUUAAAGUGUGUGUGUAGGUGUGCUUGACGCAGGGGAGCGGAUCAUAGAGGUCAAGGGUUUUCCUGUGGAUGGGAUGGAGCGUGAGCAAGUGAUCCAAGUUGUGCUGGGUCACAGCGCAGCAUCAUGUUUGAAGUCACUGGCAUGAGAGAAAGGGCGAUCCACAAUGAGAGCAGAGUAAGUCUUGGUCCAAAAUUGCCUUAUUGUUUGCAUCAAAAGUCUGGAGAGUGUACAAAGAUGUGGUUUUGUUUGCUUGUUGGUUGUAUGUGCGGGCCAUACGAGACAGACAGCGUGCGGCGGCAGGCAAAGAAAGCGCCAAGCAACACGGCAUGUGCCGGCCUCAUUCCCUCCAGCAGCCCGCUCAGAUGUGGUGCUUUUAAAGAUGUCCAAGCAAUCUUAGACUGCAUGUAAGAGGUGAAGCAGUGGUUUUGGACGAAUAUUUUGCAAUUGUAGAGCAAUGGUCAUGAGUAUGAGUUUAUUGUAAGUGUUGCAGGUCUGUGAUGAUGGAGCCACUUGAAAGACAGUGUCACUAACUGAGGUGAAGAGCAGCAUAAAGACCAGGGCUGACUGACUGAGGUGAGGAUGUCCUGAGCAGCUCACCUCAGUAUGACUGACACUGCUCAGCAGAGCUUCACUUCCAUUGAGGUCCUUUGCCAAAGUUUUGCAGCCUCCUCCAGAGUAAGGUGUACAUUUCCGAGUGGCACACCGACAGCUGCUGAAAGUCGGCCAUUUCUAAUUCAAUGUUAAGGAGUAAAAGUGUGCUUGUAUUCAUGAAUUCAUAACUGUGCUGUGGCUGUCAGAAGCAUCGUCUAUGAGUGAAGGCUGAUCUUAGAUCACAUGAUCCAUGUUUCCAUGAAAGCAACGCUGAUGUUUGUGCGUGGAAAGCUUCUAAAAGAUUUUGUAUGCAGUUAAGCAUAAAU